rnacentral:miRNA from 1 species
CAAGCUUGCGUCUAUAGGUCUG